GACGAACCGUGCGAACGUUGUUCGGAAUAACUGGGCUUAAAGGGUGCGUAGGCGGGUCCGCCAGUCUGUGGUGAAAACCUCCCGCUCAACGGGAGAACUGCCGUGGAUACUGCGGUCCUCGAGGAAGAUAGGGGCGUGCGGAACAGUUGGUUGAGCGGUGAAAUGCGUUGAUAUCAACUGGAACUCCGGAGGAGAAGGCGGCACGCUGGGUCUUUUCUGGCGCUGAGGCACGAAAGCUAGGGGAGCAAUCGGG
rnacentral:rRNA from 1 species